rnacentral:rRNA from 1 species
AUUGAACGCUGGCGGCGUGCCUAAUACAUGCAAGUCGAACGCAGUGGCAAUGGGUGAGUAACACGUGGCUAACCUCCCAUCAGAGGGGAUAACACUUGGAAACAGGUGCUCUACCGAUACUGCUGGAUUGACCCGCGGUGCAUUAGCUAGUUGGUGGGGUAACGGCGCACCAAGGCCACGAGGCAUAGCCGACCUGAGAGGAUGAUCGGCCACACUGGGACUGAGACACGGCCCAGACUCCUACGGGAGGCAGCAGUAGGGAAUCUUCGGCAAUGGACGAAAGUCUGACCGAGCAACGCCGCGUGAGUGAAGAAGGUUUUCGGAUCGUAAAACUCUGUUGUUAGAGAAGCGGUAUCUAACCAGAAAGCCACGGCUAACUACGUGCCAGCAGCCGCGGUAAUUC